rnacentral:rRNA from 1 species
ACGGCUCAGUAACACGUGGAUAACCUGCCCUAAGGAAGGGGAUAACCUCGGGAAACUGAGGAUAAUACCCUAUAGGUUACAGACGCUGGAAUGCCCUGUAACCGAAAGUUCCGGCGCCUUAGGAUGGAUCUGCGGCCGAUUAGGUUGUUGUUGGGGUAACGGCCCAACAAGCCGAUAAUCGGUACGGGUUGUGGGAGCAAGAGCCCGGAGUUGGAUUCUGAGACAUGAAUCCAGGCCCUACGGGGCGCAGCAGGCGCGAAAACUUUACAAUGCGGGAAACCGUGAUAAGGGAACCCCGAGUGCCUGUAUAUGCAGGCUGUCCAGGUGUCUAAAAAACACCUGAAGAAAGGGCCGGGCAAGACCGGUGCCAGCCGCCGCGGUAAUACCGGCGGCUCGAGUGGUGGCCACUUUUAUUGGGCUUAAAGCGUUCGUAGCUGGGUUGUUAAGUCUCUUGGGAAAUCUGACGGCUCAACCGUCAGGCGUCCAAGGGAUACUGGCAAUCUUGGAACCGGGAGAGGUGAGGGGUACUUCAGGGGUAGGAGUGAAAUCCUGUAAUCCUCGAGGGACCACCUGUGGCGAAGGCGCCUCACCAGAACGGCUUCGACAGUGAGGGACGAAAGCUGGGGGAGCAAACCGGAUUAGAUACCCGGGUAGUCCCAGCCGUAAACGAUGCGCGUUAGGUGUAUCGGUGACCACGAGUCACCGAGGUGCCGAAGGGAAACCGUGAAACGUGCCGCCUGGGAAGUACGGUCGCAAGGCUGAAACUUAAAGGAAUUGGCGGGGGAGCAC